rnacentral:rRNA from 1 species
GAUGAACGCUGGCGGCGUGCCUAAUACAUGCAAGUCGAGCGAACGGACGAGAAGCUUGCUUCUCUGAUGUUAGCGGCGGACGGGUGAGUAACACGUGGAUAACCUACCUAUCAGACUGGGAUAACUUCGGGACACCGGAGCUAAUACCGGAUGAUAUUUUGAACCGCAUGGUUCAAAAGUGAAAGACGGUCUUGCUGUCACUUAUAGAUGUAUCCGCGCUGCAUUAGCUAGUUGGUAAGGUAACGGCUUACCAAGGCAACGAUGCAUAGCCGACCUGAGAGGGGGAUCGGACACACUGGAACUGAGACACGGUCCAGACUCCGACGGGAGGCAGCAGUAGGGAAUCUUGCGAAAUGGGAGAAAGCAUGACGGAGCAACGCGGCGUGAGUGAUGAAGGUAUUCGGAUCGUAAAACUCUGGGAUUAGGGAAGAACAUAUGUGUAAGUAACUGUGCAAAACAUGACGGUACCUAAGCAGAAAGCCACGGCUAACUACGUG